rnacentral:rRNA from 1 species
CACGUAGGCGGUCUGUUAUGUCGGAUGUGAAAGCCCUUGGCUCAACUGAGGAAGUGCAUCCGAAACUGGCAGGCUAGAGUACUAAAGAGGGUCGCGGAAUUCCCGGUGUAGAGGUGAAAUUCGUAGAUAUCGGGAGGAACACCGGUGGCGAAGGCGGCGACCUGGGUAGAUACUGACGCUGAGGUGCGAAAGCGUGGGAGCAAACA